rnacentral:lncRNA from 1 species
UUAACCUCAAUCACGGGCUCCGUAGAUACGUGUUCUUCAUUUGAAAGCCAAGAAAUUGAAUCAUGGAACUCGUGACUGUUGCUAGGCGGAUGGUAGCUAGGGCCAAAGUGAUUCAUUCAUGUUGUUUCGUCUGUUUGUUCUUGUGAUCUUUACAAUAAGAACAGUGUUCUUGAAAUUGUGCGCAUGUAUUUUUUCAAAAGGACCUACGUGAAAUAGAAAAAUUAUUACUUGAUUCCCUGGUCUUGUUAUGAAAGUGUCUGCAUUGCUUGGUGUAUUCGGCUUUUUAAUGUUCAUGAUUUUUAUGUUAUCCUAGAGGUUUUGCUUAGAGAUGAGUCUUUUGCAGCAUCUUCACCAUCUGUGUGCAGGCUUGGUCUCUCAGACUAUUUGUAGGGUUUGUGUGUUUCAGAGUGAGAGUAUAGAUUUUAUGGGGUAACUAUAGUUUACAGGUGAGUGGGUAUGUGCAAUAAAAUUGGUUCGCUAUAUAAGUUCCUGUUCAUUUGGAGAUAGAAAUAGAGAUAUUGGUGAUGUCACAAUUAAACUGUUAAAGUGAUGUUUGGGGUUUGAGUGACAUUUCUUUGCAAGUGCUUGUAAAUUUGGAACAGCUAAAAUCUUGAUUAUGUUUGACGAGUAUCUUUUUGGAGAACAUGAAGAUAAGAUUUUGCUUAUAAAUCAUCGUUACUUCUGCAUUUGACACUUUCUUCGAAUGAAUGCCAGGACGAGGAAGAGGCAGAGGCGGAUACCAAUCCGAGGGCCUAAGGGGACGCCUGGGUGGUCAGAGUUUGGGCAGGGGAAGCAACCUGGAUAAUGACUACAGCCGUCCGAGGGGCAAUGGCUCCUACUUCCAUGGUUCGCAAUGAGUUAUUCGUUCGACCUUUUCGAACCGUUAUAGCUGUGGCCAAAGGCUCGUUAGGUUGCUAUGGGUGAUUCCAUGUACGAUGGUUUCCUGAAGUCGUGGUCUAUGCUUCUUGAGGUGUGUUUCUUCCUUUUUGGCAUGAUUAGAUUGUUAAGACCUUUUUCACCUUUUGGCCCUUGCGGAGAGCUUAGAUGAGCCUUUCCCCUUGAAUGGUUUUUGUGAUGCAAUUCAAGCGGGAGUUUUGGGCGCCAUCGAGCCUUUACACUGUGAGGGCUGGUGAAUUAGGUUCUAUAUUGGAAAGUUUGUAACUGUUCGACAGUUUUCUGUUAUCUUUUGUUCAACGGUAUAAUUCCUACCUUUGCUGUGUAUAUAAACUGUUUAUGCUACCUGCUUCUGAGUUGGGUUUAUACGAAAUCAGCUGCAGGGUGUUUACUUUCUCUGUUUUUAUUAUGAUGUUUUAGGUGCUUUCCUCCCCUGUUUUAUCUACUAUUUGCGAGAGAUAUUACAAAGUCACAGCAGAAGCAUUACGAGUUUGUGGGGAGCUUGUUUGUGUUGUUCGCCCAAAUAUUGAGGUGGGGCUUAUCUUAUGAUUUAAGAUUUAUUAGUUGACAUGUCAAGACAUAGCGAGGAUCAAGGAGAAUAUUCAACUACCGAACGAUCCAAGAGAGUUACAUCCUUAGUUCAUGAGGAUGAGGAAGAUAUCUCUACUUCCUCUAAGCGUUCAAGAAAACACACUUCGAUUGUAUGGUCUGAAUUCGAAAAAUUCACAGAUGGUGAUGGCAUGAGUAAGGCUAAAUGUAAAUGGUGUGAAGUAACUUAUAUGGCUAGCCAUGGGACAAAAAAUUUGUUGCGUCAUUUAAAUACUUGUCCCAACCGAGAGGUUAAUGUUGAUGGUUCUGUGGUACAAUUUGACCAAGGGGUGUUUAGAGAUAUGCUUGCAAGAGCGAUAAUCAAACACAAUUAUACAUACUCUUUUGUAGAGCAUGAGGCAACAAGAGAAUUGUUUAGUUACCUCAACCCUAAUGUGAAGCACAUAUCAAGGAAUACAGCAAGAAGUGAUGUGCUAAAAGUUUAUGAGAAAGAGAAGGGAAUUUUGAAAUCCAAAUUAUUGUCUCUUUCGAGCCGAAUAUGUUUGACUUCUGACCUAUGGACUUCUAUUACUACGGAUCAUUAUAUGACUGUCACUGCUCAUUAUAUUGAUGAUGAUUGGGAAUUGCAAUCAAAAGUCUUGUGUUUCUCCUAUGUGCCACCUCCAUAUAGUGGUGUCAUACUUUUAGAAAAAUUGCUGUCUUUGUUGAGAGAAUGGGGCAUUGAGAGAAAGAUCUUCAGUAUCACUUUAGAUAAUGCAUCAUACAAUGACAGUAUGAUUGAUAUUUGGAGAAAUACACCUUCUGUGAGAUCUUCUUUGUUAUGUGAUGGACAAUUUUUUCAUGUGCGUUGUGGUGCGCAUGUUUUAAAUCUAAUUGUACAGGAAGGUUUAAAGGUUAUUGAUGGAUCCUUACAUAAUAUUAGAGAAGCUGUCAAGUAUGUGAGGGCUACACAAGGGAGGAGAGUUAAAUUUGCAGAAUGUAUAUUGCAGUCGUGCUUAAAGACCAGUAAAAAGGUACGUCAAGAUGUGGCCACCAGAUGGAAUUCUACAUACCUAAUGCUUGAGGGUGCCCUUUUCUUUGAAUGUGCAUUUUCGCAUUUGAAGUUAAUUGACUGUAACUUUGUCACAUGUCCAUCUUCUGAAGAUUGGGUCAGAGGAAAGAAAAUUGCUUUGUUGUUAAAACCCUUUUAUGAUAUUUCUACUCUAUUCUCUGGAGUUAGAUAUCCCACGGCAAAUUUAUAUUUUUAUGGAGUAUGGCAGAUUCAACUUCGUUUAAUACAGGCAAGGGAUACUGAGGAUGAGGCUAUUAGUUCUAUGGCUAGGGCAAUGCUCAAAAAGUUUGAAAAAUAUUGGAAGUGUUAUAGUGUUGUCUUAUCAUUUGCUGUUAUAUUGGAUCCUCGUUAUAAGUUACACUUCUUGGAGUUUUGUUACUCAAAGUUGGAUAUGGAUGAUCAUGUAGAAUUUGUACGGGGCAUUCGAGAAAAACUCUAUACACUUUUUGAUGAAUAUGUAACCUCCAUGUCUAGAGAUGAUCGCUCUACUUCUUCAACAAGUCGAGGUAACAUUUCAGUUGAGGGCAUCGAUGAGAACAUUGGGGAUGACAUUGAUGAGUAUGAUGCAUUUGAGAGUGAACACUUUGGAUCACAAUCUACUAAGUCACAAUUGGAUUUGUAUUUAGAGGAGAAUAGGCUUGACAGAAAGAAGUUCCCGGAUCUCAAUGUCCUUGAUUAUUGGAAGACUCAUUCUCAUCGAUAUCCCGAGUUAUCCCUUAUGGCACGUGAUAUAUUGAGCAUUCCUAUCACUACCGUUGCCUCAGAAUCAGCCUUUAGCAUUGGAGGACGUAUUUUAAAUAAAUAUCGCAGUUCCCUUUCCCCUGAAAGCGUAGAGGCUGAGCUGUGCACUAGAAAUUGGUUAUUUGGAGUUCUACCUGAGGAAGAUUUGGAUGAAGAGUCUCUCAUCAUUGACUUUCAAGACUAUUUGCAUUAGGUACUUUUUUUCAUCUCAUUCUUUUUGUUUGCUCAUAUGAUUUCAUACACUUGUCUUUAUAAUGAUGUAUUCUUUUCAGGUUCUAGACUAGUGUUGGGUCUUAAUUUGAAAUUCCUUUUACUCAGGUAUCAAGUUGAUACUAAUGCCUUUUUGUCAAUGCUGGCGCUUCAACCUAUUCCGAAGAUGGAAUCAGUGCCUACCAUUGUUGUGGGGCUUCCUUUUUUUUCCUCUUUUACCCCCAAAUUGACGGUCAAAGACGAUUGGAUUGGUGGAUUUUUUGUUCUGUGAGUAAUGUUCAUGGGGCGGUUUGUGGUGAUUGCGAGUUGGGUCUGAUUCUUGUUUCUUUCUUUUUGCAUUUUCAUUGGCUGAUUGGUGGGCUUUUCUGUUUUGCAGAUACUAAGCAGACAGCCGUAUGGACAAAGAAAUUUACAAUCAGCUGGUUCAAGGCUGAAGAAGAAGGGUAUGACGUGAGCAAGUUCCACAAGACUCCACAUAGCAGCAGUCCACCGGAAGAAGAAGGACCCAAGGACACCAAAGGCGUUUGGUGGAUCAAGUCCAUUCUAGGAAGAUAGGGGGAACUCGAUUUCACAGCCAGCUUGAUGAAGAUGAUGCAGCAAAGGCUUCAUGGAGUUCUGAGUACAUAUGAGUUUUCAUAAAUAAUCAGCAUAUGAUGUACCCCUGUUUUAAGUUAGAUUGAAAUCUUUUAGUCUCGAGACUACCAUGCGUUUGUUUUGUUUGAUGUAUAUUUUGCUUCUGCUGUGUGCGGAUAUUGUAUCAAUGAUGAGAGAUUGGCAAUGAAUAGGAGCUGUUCAAUUAUGAGAUCAUUUUGGGAUUCCUUUCUGCUUGACGGAGUGUGGGUCAGUGGCAAAUUUCAAUACUUGUGACCUCUUAAAAUUAGUCUAGGCAUAAAGGUGGCACCUGUAGAGAAUGUUGCAUCAAAGUUAUUUGUUCAAUGCUCUCAGCAAAAGGGGCUCAUGAAGAUCUAUAGACACUUGCUCAACUAUCAAAGUACUGCACUAAUAUUCCUUAAAUUCUUACAUCCAUUGAGACACAUUCCAUCUAUAAAAAAAAAAUUCCUUAGAAAAAUC